CUACGGGGGGCAGCAGUGAGGAAUAUUGCACAAUGGAGGAAACUCUGAUGCAGCAACGCCGCGUGGAGGAUGACGCAUUUCUGUGUGUAAACUCCUUUUAUAUGUCAAGAAAAUGACGGUAGCAUAUGAAUAAGCACCGGCUAACUCCGUGCCAGCAGCCGCGGUAAUACGGAGGGUGCAAGCGUUACUCGGAAUCACUGGGCGUAAAGGACGCGUAGGCGGGAUAUCAAGUCAGGUGUGAAAUCCUACAGCUUAACUGUAGAACUGCACUUGAAACUGGUAACCUAGAGUAUGGGAGGGGGAGAUGGAAUUAGUGGUGUAGGGGUAAAAUCCGUAGAUAUCACUAGGAAUACCUAAAGCGAAGGCGAUCUCCUGGAACAUAACUGACGCCAAGGCGUGAAAGCGUGGGGAGCAAACAGGAUUAGAUACCCGAGUAGUC
rnacentral:rRNA from 1 species